rnacentral:rRNA from 1 species
UACGGAGGGUGCAAGCGUUGCUCGGAAUCAUUGGGCGUAAAGCGCACGUAGGUGGCCUGUUAAGUCGGGUGUGAAAUCCCUGGGCUCAACCCAGGAAGUGCACUCGAAACUGGCAGGCUUGAGUACUGAAGAGGGUCGCGGAAUUCCCGGUGUAGAGGUGAAAUUCGUAGAUAUCGGGAGGAACACCAGUGGCGUAGGCGGCGACCUGGGCAGAUACUGACACUGAGGUGCGAAAGCGUGGGGAGCAAACAGG